rnacentral:rRNA from 1 species
GUGGGGAAUAUUGGACAAUGGGCGAAAGCCUGAUCCAGCCAUGCCGCGUGAGUGAUGAAGGCCUUAGGGUUGUAAAGCUCUUUCAGUAGGGAAGAUAAUGACGGUACCUACAGAAGAAGCCCCGGCUAACUUCGUGCCAGCAGCCGCGGUAAUACGAAUGGGGCUAGCGUUGUUCGGAUUUACUGGGCGUAAAGCGCACGUAGGCGGAUUGGUCAGUUAGAGGUGAAAUCCUGGAGCUCAACUCCAGAACUGCCUUUAAUACUGCCAGUCUAGAGGCCAGAAGAGGUGAGUGGAACUCCUAGUGUAGAGGUGGAAUUCGUAGAUAUUAGGAAGAACACCAGUGGCGAAGGCGGCUCACUGGUCUGGUACUGACGCUGAGGUGCGAAAGCGUGGGGAGCAAACAGGAUUAGAAACCCGGGUAGUCC